AUUGAACGCUGGCGGCAUGCCUUACACAUGCAAGUCGAACGGUAACAGGUCUUCGGAUGCUGACGAGUGGCGAACGGGUGAGUAAUACAUCGGAACGUGCCCGAGAGUGGGGGAUAACGAGGCGAAAGCUUUGCUAAUACCGCAUACGAUCUCAGGAUGAAAGCAGGGGACCGCAAGGCCUUGCGCUCACGGAGCGGCCGAUGGCAGAUUAGGUAGUUGGUGGGAUAAAAGCUUACCAAGCCGACGGUCUGUAGCUGGUCUGAGAGGACGACCAGCCAAACUGGGACUGAGACACGGCCCAGACUCCUACGGGAGGCAGCAGUGGGGAAUUUUGGACAAUGGGCGCAAGCCUGAUCCAGCCAUGCCGCGUGCAGGAUGAAGGCCUUCGGGUUGUAAACUGCUUUUGUACGGAACGAAAAGACUCUGGUUAAUACCUGGGGUCCAUGACGGUACCGUAAGAAUAAGCACCGGCUAACUACGUGCCAGCCGCCGCGGUAA
rnacentral:rRNA from 1 species